rnacentral:rRNA from 1 species
AGUGAACGCUGGCGGUAGGCCUAACACAUGCCAGUCGAACGGCAGCACAGUAAGAGCUUGCUCUUACGGGUGGCGAGUGGCGGACGGGUGAGGAAUACAUCGGAAUCUACUUUUUCGUGGGGGAUAACGUAGGGAAACUUACGCUAAUACCGCAUACGACCUACGGGUGAAAGCAGGGGAUCUUCGGACCUUGCGCGAUUGAAUGAGCCGAUGUCGGAUUAGCUAGUUGGCGGGGUAAAGGCCCACCAAGGCGACGAUCCGUAGCUGGUCUGAGAGGAUGAUCCACCACACUGGAACUGAGGCACGGUCCAGACCCCUACGGGAGGCAGCAGUGGGGAAUAUUGGACAAUGGGCGCAAGCCUGAUCCAGCCAUACCGCGUGGGUGAAGAAGGCCUUCGGGUUGUAAAGCCCUUUUGUUGGGAAAGAAAAGCAGCAGGUUAAUACCCCGCUGUUCUGACGGUACCCAAAGAAUAAGCACCGGCUAACUUCGUG